GAUGAACGCUGGCGGCGUGCCUAAUACAUGCAAGUCGAGCGAACAGAUGAGGAGCUUGCUCCUCUGACGUUAGCGGCGGACGGGUGAGUAACACGUGGAUAACCUACCUUUAAGACUGGGAUAACUUCGGGAAACCGGAGCUAAUACCUGAUAAUAUAUUUAACCGCAUGGUUCAAUAGUGAAAGACGGUUUUGCUGUCACUUAUAGAUGGAUUGGCGCCGCAUUAGCUAGUUGGUAGGGUAACUGCUUACCAAGGCAACGCUGCGUAGCCGACCUGUGAGGGGGAUGGGCGACACUGGAACUGAGACGCGGUCAAGACUCCUGAGGGAGGAAGCGGAAGGGAAAAGGCGGCAAUGGGCGGAAGGCUGACGGAGAAACGCCGCAAGAGUGAUGAAGGUCUUCGGAUCGUAAAACUCUGUUAUUGGGGAAGAACAAAUGUGGAAGUAACUAUGCGCGUCUUGACGGUACCUAAUCAGAAAGCCACGGCUAACUAAGUG
rnacentral:rRNA from 1 species